rnacentral:rRNA from 1 species
GAUGAACGCUGGCGGCAGGCUUAACACAUGCAAGUCGAACGCAUCCUUCGGGGUGAGUGGCAGACGGGUGAGUAACGCGUGGGAACGUGCCCUUCAGUUCGGGAUAACCCAGGGAAACUUGGGCUAAUACCGGAUACGUGCGAGAGCAGAAAGAUUUAUCGCUGAAGGAUCGGCCCGCGUCUGAUUAGCUAGUUGGUGGGGUAAUGGCCCACCAAGGCGACGAUCAGUAGCUGGUCUGAGAGGAUGAUCAGCCACAUUGGGACUGAGACACGGCCCAAACUCCUACGGGAGGCAGCAGUGGGGAAUAUUGGACAAUGGGCGCAAGCCUGAUCCAGCCAUGCCGCGUGAGUGAUGAAGGCCUCAGGGUUGUAAAGCUCUUUCGUCCGGGACGAUAGUGACGGUACCUGCAGAAAAAGCACAGGCUAACUACGUGCCAGCAGCCGCGGUAA